CUCUCCGAAGUGAUCACUGAGCAUUUGUUAUGUUUUAUAGGCUACUCCAAUUGUGGGACAGGUGACAGGACGGGGAAAAUUCUGAAUUUUGUAGAACUGCUGAUAUGAAACACAACGACUGGUCUGAUUCAGAGCAUAAGCAACUUGUUUUUGACAAGGGCCCUGAGCUACUGCACAGCAGGAGAGGAAAAGCCAGCAAGACAGAAGUGCAGAGAACCAAGCAGGAGAUGUCCGGCCACUUCCUGGGAAGCACAGCUUCAGUACACAGAGCAGCUGCUCCAGAAGACAGAUGUUUUAAUAAGGAAUGCCCCCCAUCUUCCUUCUCUUAGCUAUAACUGCUGAGCAGAUGCCAUAUGGUCUGGAAUAUCCCAAGAUCUUUCCCCCACCCCAGCCUGCUGGUGAGGUGGGAAUGUUAGAGACAGCCUUGAUGCUGUGGGAACAUUGUUCAAGAACAGCCAAAACACUGGUGUUUUAUCAACACCUUCCUAGCUACCAAUACAAAACACAGCUCUACAAGGGCUGCUAGGGGUGAAAUUACCUUCUUCUCAGCCAGAUCCAGUACAACUGUUUAUUUAAAAAAAUUAACAGAAACUUUUAACAAAAUCACACCGAACAGUGAGGAUCUGAAAAGCCAGGCAGCACUGGGGGCAUCACAAAGAGAAAUACUCUGCAGACCCUGACCAACCCAAGGGCUAAAUGUGCAGACAAGCACCUCCAAGUGGAUGAUAAGACCGUGUCCACUUCUCUCAUUCAAACAGUGAUACUGUUUAUUAAGCAGGUGAGGUUGUAGAUUAGAAACCUGAAUCUCUUGUGCAGCCUCACUUGGUGCCCAGGCACCUGGAGGGCUCCAACGGUGGUAAGCUUUUAAAAAAAGUUCCAUUUGAAAGCAACCACAGCUGCAGUUGUAGCUUGGAGGAAGCCACCUGCUUAAGUGCAACAUGAAGAGUAUGUCAUAGCAUAAGGUGAGUGUGACAUGCUGCAUUUCUUCUUGCCCAAAAUCCUACAGAGCUGUCCAUUUUUUUACCUUGUUGCCCUGUAUCAGCACAGAACAUCCUCUCUAGCUCAGGAAGAAGGGAGAAUGAACACAUGUAUAUCCACAGUCUAAGGAAAGUCACCUUUUGCUGGAACUUGGAUCUCACUCCACACCCUGAUCCCAAAUGCGAGAACAGGGCUAGCUCUGGAAGGACAGAGCCCUCUACGAGCCA